AAUCUUACCGGGGUCCGGACACACUGAGGACAGACAGUUGUCUUUCCCUCCCUUCGGGGUGGGAUUACAAAAGAUAACAGAUCUUUCAUGAUCAUGUGAUGGGUGGUGCAUGGCCGUUCUUAGUUCGUGGAGUGAUCUGUCUGCUUAAUUGCGUUUCAAAUUUUAUAUUUGUUAACAUGCGAGUCUUCAAUGACGGCCACUCCACCUUAUAGACAUUAUAUGAUAUGCACAUUUGUGUAUUUGAUUAUAACUUGUCUGGAGUCUGGCUCGAUUUUCCCGACUCAAUUGAACGCAACGGACGUGAUUGCAAGUCCUUGUUGAACAAAUUAUAUAUAUACUACUUCAUCAUUAGUAUAUAUAGUUCGCUUCUCAUGUCGUAGCAGUCAAACGGGCGGGCGUCUUAAUUGGCGCGGUCACGAGUAAUAUGCUGCGGCUGGGGAAAACUUGGGCGACCGCUGUAAUACUUCU
rnacentral:rRNA from 1 species